rnacentral:rRNA from 1 species
UUGAUCCUGGCUCAGAAUCAACGCUGGCGGCGUGCCUAACACAUGCAAGUCGCACGAGAAAGAGGGGGCAACUCCUUGAGUAAAGUGGCGUACGGGUGAUUAACACGUGACUAACCUACCUUCGAAUGGGGAAUAACCUCGGGAAACCGUGGCUAAUACCGCAUAAUAUCUACGGAUCAAAGCAGCAAUGCGUUUGAAGUGGGGGUCGCGGCUGAUUAGCUAGUUGGUAAGGUAAUGGCUUACCAAGGCUACGAUCAGUAUCCGGCCUGAGAGGGCGCACGGACACGCUGGAACUGAAAUACGGUCCAGACUCCUACGGGAGGCAGCAGUGGGGAAUUUUGCGCAAUGGUGGAAACCCUGACGCAGCAACGCCGCGUGGAGGAUGAAGGUCUUUGGAUUUUAAACUCCUUUCGAUCGGGACGAUUAUGACGGUACCGGAAGAAGAAGCAUCGGCUAACUCUGUGCCAGCAGCCGCGGUAAUAAGU